GGACGAACCUCUGGUGUUCCGGUUGUCACGCCAGUGGCAUUGCCGGGUAGCUAUGUUCGGAAGCGAUAACCGCUGAAAGCAUCUAAGCGGGAAGCGCGCCUCAAGAUGAGAUCUCCCGGGGCACAAGCCCCCUGAAGGAACCAUGUAGACUACGUGGUUGAUAGGUCAGGUGUGUAAGUACAGCAAUGUAUUGAGCUAACUGAUACUAAUGAUCCGUGCGGCUUGACCAU
rnacentral:rRNA from 1 species